rnacentral:rRNA from 1 species
GACGAACGCUGGCGGCGUGCUUAACACAUGCAUGUCGAACGGAAAGGCCCUGCUUUUGUGGGGUGCUCGAGUGGCGAACGGGUGAGUAACACGUGAGUAACCUGCCCUUGACUUUGGGAUAACUUCAGGAAACUGGGGCUAAUACCGGAUAGGAGCUCCUGCUGCAUGGUGGGGGUUGGAAAGUUUCGGCGGUUGGGGAUGGACUCGAGGCUUAUCAGCUUGUUGGUGGGGUAGUGGCUUACCAAGGCUUUGACGGGUAGCCGGCCUGAGAGGGUGACCGGCCACAUUGGGACUGAGGUACGGCCCAGACUCCUACGGGAGGCAGCAGUGGGGAAUAUUGCACAAUGGGCGGAAGCCUGAUGCAGCAACGCCGCGUGCGGGAUGACGGCCUUCGGGUUGUAAACCGCUUUCGCCUGUGACGAAGCGUGAGUGACGGUAAUGGGUAAAGAAGCACCGGCUAACUACGUG